GCUUUAUCUCAUUAAGCUCAUUCAUUUACUCAUCAGUAUUAAAUAAAGCCUUCUAAGUGCUACAUACUCUUCUAGAAGAUGGAGGUACAAGAGUACACAAAAUGGACAUGGUCCUUGUUCUUGUGGAACUUAAAUUUUGGUGACAAUUUGGAAUUGACACCCUGAGCGGAGACUGAGCUGACCACCUGUCCCCUCUCACAAUCAUUCAGUUUUAAAAGAUGAAUAGUAAGAAAAUAAUUUGGCACAAAGAAAGACCACAAAUUCCUCUCAAUUUACAUUCUGCACUUCUGGAAAAACAGGAUGCUGUGGGAGUCCUCUACAAACAACUGUACCUGUCUGGCUG